rnacentral:rRNA from 1 species
GUCUACGGCCAUACCACCCUAAACGCGCCCGAUCUCGUCUGAUCUCGGAAGCUAAGCAGGGUUGGGCCUGGUUAGUACUUAGAUGGGAUAUUCCAGUUGGGAAGACUGCCCUGGUUCAUCUGCC